UAUUGAGCACAAGCCAUUUUAUCAGUUUCCGCCUCCGGACAUAUGAACAGUAAUAAAGAGCAAUAAAGUUCUAAUAUUUGCCGUAAAGCUACGUGAAAGGAGUUGGACAAAAUAUGAGACACAUAUAUCCAUUUGUAAUAGUCGCUAUACUGGUGUUUGCUGGCACCUCAGCGCUGCCAUUCGACGUCGGGGCUGUCAAACGUCUCUCAUCCUUGGAGACUUGGGACCGCUGGCCGGCAAGACCGGAAAUCUGUCCUGACGUCAUCUGCUGCGGAGAGCCGCCAUGUUGUGACCCGGUCUUUUGUUAAAUAAUAAGAAAAUUCUUCGCUGGGAUGUCCACAGCGCUACCGUACACGCGAUAAUAGCAUCAGAUUUUGUUCGUUAUUUACAUAUGUAAGAAAAUAA